GCUGCCCUCCCUUCUGGCUGCCCUACCUACCCCCACCCCCCAGAGGCUGGAAGGAGACCCUGUUCUUCUCACAUCACAGCAGAGGGUGUGUGGAGUCAGAGAGGGAAAGAUGUUAUCGGGCUGAUUCAUGGUCUCUCCACGCCUUGCUCAGGACACUUGAACUUGAUGCAGUUAUUGGACAUCCUGGGUGGUUGGCUUCAUCUCCAGGAACUCUGAUUUAUUGACCUCUUACUGUAUACCGCCCAUGACAGCUUCUUCACAUGUUUCGUUCUACUGGCAGUCCAGCCGAGCAUUCUGGAGGACAUGGAGGCAUAGCCAGGUCCAGAGACUCAUCUGAGACCCUCCCAGCCUCACGCCAGCAAGUGGAGGCCCAAGGACUACCCGUGGAGGGUUUAUGCUGACCUUGCUGGUCCUGGUCACAAUACCUACUAUGUGAGGCACUCUGCGAAGCUUUUCACCUACUACUCCCAACUGAGAAGAAGCUAAAGCUCAGAGAAUGAAGUGGCUGGAUCCGACUGAGACUUCAUUCUCUUUCCAGAACAAUCUACCAUGUGAUAGUAUUCCUGUGUUGAAGUCCUGAACCUCGCCUGGACCUCAGCGCGUGACUGUAUCCAGAGGCUGAGUCUUCAAAGAGUCAUGAUCUUUGGAGGCAGUGACCUUUGGAGAGAGAAUGAAAAUCGCAAAGUACUCCAAAGGCGGUGAGUAAUCUCAAGGCAACGCUGGACCAGUGGGCAGCAGCACAUAUUUUCUGUACAGAGUUGGACAGUAAACAUCUCAGACGUGGCGGUCUCCAUGGCAACAAUGCAACACUGCCCCUCAGCUCCAAGCUGCCAUAUAUAUAUGUGACUGAGCAUAGCUGCGCUUAAUAAAACUUUAU